rnacentral:rRNA from 1 species
GAUGAACGCUGGCGGCGUGCUUAACACAUGCAAGUCGAACGGUGAAAGGGGAGCUUGCUCCUCUGGAUCAGUGGCGAACGGGUGAGUAACACGUGAGCAAUCUGCCCCGAACUCUGGGAUAAGCGCUGGAAACGGCGUCUAAUACCGGAUACGACGCGGGAGGGCAUCCUCUCCGCGUGGAAAGAAUUUCGGUUCGGGAUGAGCUCGCGGCCUAUCAGCUUGUUGGUGAGGUAACGGCUCACCAAGGCGACGACGGGUAGCCGGCCUGAGAGGGUGACCGGCCACACUGGGACUGAGACACGGCCCAGACUCCUACGGGAGGCAGCAGUGGGGAAUAUUGCACAAUGGGCGCAAGCCUGAUGCAGCAACGCCGCGUGAGGGACGACGGCCUUCGGGUUGUAAACCUCUUUUAGCAGGGAAGAAGCGAAAGUGACGGUACCUGCAGAAAAAGCACCGGCUAACUACGUGCCAGCCGCCGCGGUAA